rnacentral:rRNA from 1 species
GGUCGCAUUAUGGCCUUGCAUUGAACGCUGGCGGGAUGCUUUACACAUGCAAGUCGAACGGCAGCAUCGUGACUUUGCUCAGUAUGAGUGGCGAACGGGUGAGUAAUGUAUCGGAACGUGCCUAGUAGCGGGGGAUAACUACGCGAAAGUUGGCGCUAAUACCGCGCGCCCUUCGGGGGUGCGGGGACCUUCUUGGGCCUCGCACUAUUAGAGCGGCCGAUAUCGGAUUAGCUAGCGGUGGGCAAUGCUCACCAAGGCGACGAUCCGUAGCUGGUUUGAGAGGACGACCAGCCACACUGGGACUUGAGACACGGCCCAGACUCCUACGGGAGGCAGCAGCAGUGUGGGAACGGGACAAGUCGGGAAACCCCAUCCCAGCCAUCCCGCGUGUGCGAUGAAGGCCUUCUUUAAGCCAGAAAGCACUUUUGCAGGAAAGAAACGGCACGGAUAAUACCCGUGGUGCAACGACGGUACCUGCAGAAUAAGCACUGGCUAAUCACGCCAGCAGCCGCGGUAAUACGUAGGGUGCAAGCGUUAAUCGGAAUUACUGGGCGGCGUAUGCAGGCGGUUCGGAAAGAAAGAUGAAAUCCCAGAGCUUGAACUUCGAACUUACUUAACUACCGAGCCAGAGUGGUGUCGUGAGGGAGGUGGAAUUCCGCGUGUAGCAGUGAAAUGGCGUAGAUAUGGAGGAACAACGAUGGCGAAGGCAGCCUCCGGGAGGUCAACUGACGCUCAUGCACGAAAAGCGUGGGGAGCAAACAGGAUUAGAUACCCUGGUAUCCACGCUCUCAAACGAUGUUUCACCUAGCUGUUGGGGCCUUCGUGGGUCGGUAGCGCAGCUAACGCGUGAAGCGACCGCCUGGGGAGUACGGUCGCAAGAUUAAAUCCAAAGGAAUUGACGGGGAUCUGCAUUAAGCGGUGUGAUGAUGGAUUAAUUCGAUGCAACGCGAAAAACCUUACCUACCCUUGACAUGUCUGGAAUCCCGAAGAGAUUUGGGAGGUCUGCAAGAGAACUGAACAGGUGCUGCAUGGCUGUCGUCAGCUCGUGUCGUGAGAUGUUAAGUUGGGUCCUGCAACGAGGCAACCCUGUCAUUAGUUGCUACGAAAGGGCACCUGAAUGAGACUGCCGUGACAAACCGGAGGAAGGUGAUGACGUCAAGUCCUCAUGGCCCCCGCGGGUAGGGCUUCACACGUCAGCAAUGGUCGGGACAGAGGCCGCCAACCUGCUGAGGGGGAGCCAAUCCAGAAACCCGAUCGUAGUCCGAUCGCAGUCUGCACCGACUGCGUGAAGUCGGAAUCGCCAGGUAAUCGCGGAUCAGCAUGUCGCGGUGAAUAUGCCCUCUAGGCCCUGCACAGACACCGCCUGUCACACCAUGAGUGGGUUUUACCAGAAGCAGUUAGCUCAACCGUAAGGAGGGCGAUUACCACGGUAGGAUUCAUGACUGGGGUGAAGUCAACAAGGCAAUCGAGUAUUAUCUGAUGCUCC